rnacentral:rRNA from 1 species
UGGGCCUACGGGGGGCAGCAGUGAGGAAUAUUGGUCAAUGGGCUUACGCCUGAACCAGCCAAGUCGCGUGAGGGAAGACUGCCCUAUGGGUUGUAAACCUCUUUUGUCAGGGAGCAAUUGGCGCUACGUGUAGCGUUAUCGAGAGUACCUGAAGAAAAAGCAUCGGCUAACUCCGUGCCAGCAGCCGCGGUAAUACGGAGGAUGCGAGCGUUAUCCGGAAUGAUUGGGCGUAAAGGGUGCGUAGGCGGCCUGCUAAGUCUGGAGUGAAAGGUACCGGCUCAACCGGUACAGGCUCUGGAAACUGG